CCUUUCAGGACGCAGCCAGUUCCCGCCUGAGGGCCCAGGGGAGCUGGAACUUGCUUAUGCUGGCCUUGGGAAAAGGAUUAUUAGUACACACAGUGAGAUUGUGGCUCUCCUUGAGGAGGAGUUUCCAAAACCAAAAUUAUUAAAAGAAGGAUGGAUGUUCUUCAAAUCUACAGGUGGGAGCAGACGUUGCAAGCUGUCCAUAAUCCCUACUGACAACGAGGGGUACUCCACAAGGCUCCUCAAAUCAGUGUCCAACAACGGCAAAGACAUAGUGUUUGUUGUUCCACUACAGGAGCAACUUUCCACCGAAGCGCUUCCUUUUGAUUCGCCAGAGUUCGCAAAGAUGCCACAGUCAUGCUGCAUUUCAUGUGGCAGUGAAAUGCCUUUGCAGAGGUUGCCGCUGCAUGUAGAGGGAUGCGAUGGCAAAGUGACUGAGAGUGAACCUGUGACGCCUCUUGUAGAAGAUUGCCAAGUUAUUAUGCAGCCUUUUCCACCAUGACAGUGAUGGGGGAAUCCUCAGAGGU